rnacentral:rRNA from 1 species
GACGGAGGGUGCAAGCGUUAUCCGGAAUCACUGGGCGUAAAGCGUGUGUAGGUGGUUUCAAAAGUCCACUGUUAAAGAUUGAAGCUUAACUUCAAAAAUGCCGUGGAAACUUUGAAACUUGAGUAUGAUAGGGGUAGAGGGAAUUUCCAGUGGAGCGGUGAAAUGCGUAGAUAUUGGAAAGACCACCAAUGGCGAAGGCACUCUACUGGGCCAUUACUGACACUGAGAGACGAAAGCUAGGGGAGCAAAUGGG